CUUCCAAGCCUAAGAUUGUGUUUGGAACUAAGGGCUCCAGUUCUGAUUCUUACAUUAAAAAUAAAGCAUAUGGAGAUUUCCUUCACAAAGCUUUUAACGUCUCAACUGCCGAUCAAGAAAGCGCUGCUGUAGCUUGGACAUCUUUAUCAAAUGAAAAGCCUUUCAUCGUGAUACGAGGUGCUUCCAAUGUAGCAGGUGAAGCAAGUUCAGGAUCGCAAAUUAGCUACUUGGCCUCCUACAAUGCUUUCCUUGCCGCAGCCAAGAUCAUUGAGUCAAUUCCCACGCCACGUCUGGCUUGUGAGUGAUGAGAUUAUGUAUCUGCUUCUGGGUCGUUUGAGUGCUAUGAAAGAGAUUGAUGACCGAUUGCACUCAAAUGAACUGAACUGUGUUUGGCCUACUAAAUUAAAUAAACUCGAAUAAAAAUGCUAUGAACUUUCUCCAUUA